rnacentral:rRNA from 1 species
GACAGAGGAUGCAAGCGUUAUCCGGAAUGAUUGGGCGUAAAGGGCGUGUAGGCGGUCAGAUAAGUCAGAGGUGAAAGCCCGGGGCUCAACCCCGGAAGUGCCUUUGAAACUAUCUGGCUUGAGUGCGGGAGAGGAAAGCGGAAUUCCCAGUGUAGAGGUGAAAUUCGUAGAUAUUGGGAGGAACACCGGUGUCGAAGGCGGCUUUCUGGACCGACACUGACGCUGAGGCGCGAAAGCGUGGGGAGCAAACAGG